GGGGAUGUAGCUCAAUUGGGAGAGCACCUGCCUUGCAAGUAGGAGGUUGCGAGUUCGAGUCUCGUCAUUUCCA
rnacentral:tRNA from 1 species